rnacentral:rRNA from 1 species
AUUGAACGCUGGCGGCAGGCCUAACACCUGCAAGUCGAGCGAGCGGCGGACGGGUGAGUAAUGUAUGGGGACUGCCCGAAAGAGGGGGAUAACUACUGGAAAAGGUAGCUAAUACCGCAUACUAUCGGAUAACCCAUAUGGGAUAAGCUAGUAGGUGAGGUAAGGGCUCACCUAGGCGACGAUCCCUAGCUGGCCUGCGAGGAUGAUCAGCCAACAUGGGACUGAGACACGGCCCAGACUCCGACGGAUGCAGUAGUGGGGAAUAUUGCACAUGGGGCGCAAGCCUGAUGCAGCCAGGCCGCGUGUAUGAAGAAGUCCCGAGGGUUGUAAAGUACGUUCAGUCGGGAGGCGUUACCGACAGAAGAAGCACCGGCUAACUCCGUGCCAGCAGCCGCGGUAAUUC